UACGGAGGGUGCGAGCGUUGUCCGGAAUCACUGGGCGUAAAGGGCGCGUAGGCGGCGCGGGGAGUCAACGGUGAAAGCUCGGCGCUCAACGCCGAGUCGGCCGUCGAUACUCCCGUGCUCGAGCACUGUAGAGGCAGGUGGAAUUCCGGGUGUAGCGGUGGAAUGCGUAGAGAUCCGGAGGAACACCGGUGGCGAAGGCGGGUCUCUGGGCCAAAACUGACGCUGAGGAGCGAAAGCGUGGGGAGCGAACAGG
rnacentral:rRNA from 1 species